UGGAUUUUUGCAACUUUGGUUUAUGCUGCUCUUCUGCAAGUGCUUCAACUUCUCGAGUCAUCUGCUUCCUGUUUGAAACUUGCAGAACAGAAUUUUGCAAAACACUACUAGAACUGGCUAUCCAAACGUGCUGUGGGCCUGCUACCUUCCCAGCUGCUCCAGCUUUGAGCGGACAAAACUUGUAAAUUAGCUGAUUAGAUGAAGCAUUGCUAUUUUUCAACCAUUUUUGUUGUGUGUCAAGUCUUGACACUGAGCCAGUCUGAAUUGGCAGUGGAUCUCUGGAAUAAGCCAUGGGGAAAGCAGCAAAACAUGGUCAUUUAUCUUGGAAACAAAAGCACUAAAGAUGGAAUGCCUGACUGUCUUCUAAUUUCAGCUGGUGUAAAACAGGCACAGCUCCUCUGAAAUUAAGAACAGAACAGCAGGAGAGAAUAACCGUCCUCCUGCAUGGUAUGCUUCAGCAAAAGUACAACUGCAGUUUUGUAUGAUAAAUAUCUACUUCCCCUCCACUGGGUGGGAGGUGGGAAAGACUUCGAUAUUUCAGAAAGCUUUAGUUUGUUUUGUUUGUCCAAGGUGUGUGCUCCCUACACUGCUGUUGUAAUUCCAUGGUCAAUGAGAGGUUCUCAAGAUUUCUGAUGGUGCAGCUGACAGCUGGGUUAACAACACUCAUUAUCUUGAUAGCAGGAUUUCUUGUCUUAUAAAAAUGUGACAGUCUAAUCCUUUGUGGAAUGGUGUUUAGACAUUCUGCAGAUGAAUUGGGAUUAGCAUUUCAUCCCUUCCAUCCUAAUGGAAAUCGAGAGUAACUAUUGACGUAGUGAUAUUUUGCUGGCUUGGUGCUGGUGAGAGAUCACAAUCAGUACUUCCUAUGUGGCUGUGUACAGGCGAAUACUUCUUUGGAACCAUCUGAUCAGGACUGUCAGGAAGUGCAGUGUGGAAGAGAAAAUGCUGAGCUGGUGAAAUGAGCUGCUGAAUGACACAGAUGUCAUCAGAUCUUAAAGGGACACUCAAAGGUUUCAAAAGAGCUGUUUUAAGCAAUUGCUAAAUUGGAAAAAAAAAAAAAACUGUUAUCUACAAGUCAUUUAUGGCUAAUACAGGAACGGAUCCUAUACUCAUUCAAGUGUCAAGCAAAACACCUACAGAACCAGGAUUCAGGAGAAGCACAUCAUUUUCCUGUUAUAAGCAGGGAAAUGCCUUAGUGUGAGGAACGGACUUGAGCAGUGCCACCCAGUCUCUGCUAGCAGCAGAGACCAGGUCAACUGAAGCCUGUCUGUGAUCUGAGUACAGCAUGCACUGCAUGCAGAUGCAUUGCUUGAGCACAUUAUGUUGUGUGGGUUUGAGUAAUAGCUUCAGAUUCUGUGGUCACCUUAUGUAAGAAAUGGAGCGUUGCUGUGUGUGUGUGUGUGUGUGUGUGUAUAUAUAUAUAUAUAUAUAUAUAUAAUAAACUGAAGGCCGGAGGGAAGGAAAAACCUCAAAGGUAGUUCAAGUCAAAAUAAAGCAGAACCCCACUUUUGCUACAAAUAUACCAUAUAUAUUAAAUUAAAAAUCACAUUCAUGAUCAGUCUUAAAUUCUUAGAUUUUUUUGGUCUGUAAUGUGAUUUUUCUGUAAAGAAGUGAGUGGUACAGUUGAUAACGCUCCAAUUACAAUGCUGUGUCUCAUACUAUAAAAAUAAAUUGAACUUGUGCAUACUGUAGGAAACUAA